GUUUUAUUGAAGUUUAUUAUUUUACUGCUGAAUUGGCUUAUUUUUAGUUAAUUAUUUCAAGAAUAACAGAAAACAAACACCAAGAAAAACCUAUUACAGAAGGAUGGAAGUGACAGGACCGAUUCUUAGGCUCCGUAGGUUAAUUGAGGAAAAAAGUUAGCUGUAAUGUUGCAUUUUUAAGAAGGAAUACACUUUUCAACAGAAUUAAGAACAAUAAAGAGCAACAUCUGCAUCAUCAUCUUUUGGGAAAAGAAUUAAUGUGUUAUUGGAUUGGAUCAAGUAUCUGCCCUGAGAUUGCAAAGAAAAAAGGACAGUUGAUCACAAAACUUGGAGGGGGAGAGAGCAGAGAAGGUGUUGGAGAGAAACAAGAAAUAAAACUUUAGAAGAAGACCGGAUGCCAGCUGUCUGCAUCUUCUGUACUUCUCUUCAAAAAUUGUGGGAAGGAAAUCGUAGUGAAUUGUCCUUCUCAUUGCACUAUCAAGGAAACAGAAUAAUAGGAUUUUGGGACAAUUUUCAUCCAAGGAAAAACAAGUACAUUCUGAAUCUGAAAGAGACAUUAAUUGUGAUUAUGAUGCUUGGAAAAGAAGAAAAGGAAAAUUAUAACAUUAAUACAAAAAAAAAAAAAGGUGUUUAUCCUUCCGAUGUCAUUGUCAGGUCAAGCCUGCAAAAUCUCUCUUUCUUAAUUAAUUAAUAAAAGAAGUUGUUUGUUUUUCAAAUGUAGUCUCUGUAACUUUGCCUCAAUGUCUCAUUACCCAACCUUAGUCCACAGACAGGCCAUAAACCUGUUUUAUAUCAUCAGAAGGUCUCACAGUAGAUACAUAAAAUAUAUCAACUUGUAGCUGAAAACUUGUUAAUUAUGAUUUAGAAAUUUGUAAAAUGCAUUAACAGAAUCGUAUUUAUACAACAAUUAGUUGUUAUACCUGGUAAAUGUUUAAAUGUCAAGGCGAGCUCUUUGCUGGAUGCUUAUUUGUGAAACAUCCUAACAGGGAUGGCCUGCAUCAAAUAUUAGUGUAGAACAUUAGAUGCUCAUUUGAGAGAACUAUCUGAGGUGGGCCAUAAUAAGC
rnacentral:lncRNA from 1 species